AUGGCGAUGAGGUUGUUGCCGCGCCUAUGCCUGCUCCUGUGUUCUCUCAUCGGCGACGCGCGCUCCUCGCCGGCGCUUCAGAGGCUCAAUGCAAGCGCCGCUGAAAACCCCCAUAUACCACCGGGUGUCGGCCGUGCCCUCUCGGCCCCUCUCAUCGGCCACGGCGGCCGCCUCGUCGCUUGCUCCGGGAAGAACCUACUCGCUUUCGAGCCAAACGGAUCCUUCGCGUGGAUCAUUUCCCUUGGAUACAACUGUAAACAAGAGAUCAGCUUGGUUGCCGAGAGGGACGAGAUAUACUUGGUGGCAGAAGAUAAGGUCAUAAAAGUAACUCCACAAAACUUACACACCAGUGCCCCAACAUCACAAGUGUUUUUCAGUCACGGUUCACCACCAGGGAGGUCCAAGGAGAUCAUCGGCCUAUCCACCAGCAGCAGCUAUGCAUCUCUUUUCAUCACCAUUAGGAACCGUGGUCUUUUCUCUUUCUCGUUGCGUGACGGGAAGCUGCAGUGGAGUGCCGGGCCUGUGGUGGAUCGCUUCGGUUACCGUCUAGGCUGCAAGGGCAACAACAUCUCAGCCUGCUAUUUCAAUUCAUCUCCAAUUGUUGAUCAAUGCGAGGGCACUCUUUAUAUAUCAAAUACCGAAGGCCAGCUCUAUUCCAUGUACAUUCAUAGCCGUCAGUAUAGAUGGGUCCAAGACUUGAGCUCGAUCGACAAAGUCGUGACAAUUGCACCGGGAAAUAAUGGCCGCCUAUACAUUGUCCUUCCGAGAAAGUCAACUGUCAUGGGGCUUGAUGUACUGUCAGGAAACAUUUCAUGGCAGCUGAGUGUUGGUCCACUUAGUAAUGAGAAAAUCUUGCCAGCUGUGGAUUCCAAUGGUUGGAUAUCAAUUGGCUCGUUAGAUGGGAUCUUGUAUUCAAUUUCUCCUGAUGGUGAUAUCAGAAAGUUUCUUCAAAGAACAGCACCUAAUUCAGUGAUCCAUUCAAGUCCAGUCCUGGACUGCUCAGGGUUUUCGGUCUACAUCAGCCAGACCAUAAUGGAGGCAAAAUCAAGUCAAACUAUCGGUGAUUACACCUAUGUAUCGGCGAUGAAGCCAUCAAGCAUCUUGUUUACUUUGUUGGCUCCAGCAACUGGAACGGUCUACUGGACUGAAAAGUAUCCUGGAGAAUUAUCGAAUUUGUUGUCCGGUAGUGACCUGGACUACUUUACACUAGAUGAGACCAUUCUUCUCACUGCUCUAUCUUCUGCAAGAAUCGGCAACACCGUGCAAUGCUACACGAGAAGGCAAAAGAUUGCUUGGACUUGCAGAAAAGCAAAACCAAAGUUUGUUCAUGGUGAUCCAGGUGACCACAACCAUGUCCUUCUGUUGUUCUUUUUCCAACUCGUUGUCAUUGUGGUACUAGCGGUAAUUGUGCGGUUUUGCUGCAUCUUCUGGAGGAAGAAAAAGCUUCAAAACAAUGGCUUGCAAAAGUUCCUGGAAAAGAGGCGUUCUCUUCACAGCAAGAGGAGAGUCUUAGGCAAGAUUAUCUCUGAGUUAGAGCAGAAGGCGGUCGAAGACGUCGAAGGCGCCUCUUCAAACAAAACUUUGGAGCAAUUGGGUGAAAUGGUGAAAGCCAAGGAUGGUGUUGAGAGGAAGCUGUACACAUCAUACAGUCUUGGCAGGGACGUCCUGGGCUUGAGACAAGGCUCUUCCAUAUUGCCCCUUUACAAUGGAAAGCACAAGAGUCACUCAUUUCACGGCGCACAUAGAGAAAGCAUUACGGUCUUUAAUACGCUCAGCGAGAGCUCUACUUCGGAGGAUAGAACAAGCAGUAGCUACUCCAGUGACAGUGGGAGCUGCAGCAGUGGUAGUAGAUUUGAAGAAAUGGAACUGGACACAAGAUCCAAGUCAGCAGAAGAGGCUGGACUUUCAGAGGAUAUUGCCAAGGAAGCUCAAGACAAAUUGCCAGUAGAAGUCGCAUCAUCGUAUCAGGCAUUUAUGAAUCCGUUGUAUGUGCAAGGAGAAAGCACUAGCAAAUCACCUUCGCAGAGGGAAGCAUUUCCGAUGGAGACCAUGCAGCACGAUGUUGCACCAACCAAGAGAAUGUGGCUGAAGAGGAGGCGAAGUCUGUCCUCAACAAACUGA
rnacentral:rRNA from 1 species